UCCCUGGUGGCUCAGUGGUAGAAGAAUCUGCCUGGCAAUGCAGAAGGCCUGGGUUCAAUCCCUGGUCUGGGAC
rnacentral:tRNA from 1 species